rnacentral:lncRNA from 1 species
ACUACCCUAUUCCUGAACACUCUGCUUCGACGAUAAAAAAUCAGAAAAAGAAGAAUGCAAAAAGACGGAUGGUUCUGCUUCUUCUUCUCUAGUUGAAAAACCAGCCAAAUACACAACACCCCUUCUUCAACUCACUCAUGACCACCGAAACAAUCAGCUUCCAUGGUUUCAUCUUCUUCAGAUAAGGAGCAGCCAGCUUUCAUGGUUUCUUAACAGAGAACACACAAACAAAACCUUCCAUCGUCCAAGCAACGCCCCUUUAUCUUCUUCUCUUCAUACCCCACCAGCUUCUUCUUCUUUAACAGCGGCGAACUCGCCGGAAAUGCCAUAAUACACACAUGCACGAACAGUAAGGAGGAACAGAGUCGAUGGAGACUUCAGUCCAAACAACACUUGAACGCAAAAAUUCCAUUAGAGUUCCUGUGUUUCCGGUGAGGUCGUCGAUUUGUCGAGGUUGUCGAGUUUCAGUCAAGUUGUUCGUUUCCGGUGAAGCUGUAGAACAAUUGAAAGUUCAGAUUCAUAUUUUAGGUUCAUUUCUUGUCUCAACCUCGAUUAAUGUCGAUUUAAUGUUCAAAUGCUAUGGAUUUUGUGCUUGAAUGAAAUUCUAAUCGUGAAAUGCUAGUCUUGGCCGAUGAUAAUUUUCAUUUCCAUGUUCGCUUACUGUUUUUUUGUUUCUUGCUAUUUAUGUAUUAAGGUAUCUUUGCUUGAAACUCAAUUCCAUAUUAGUUGUUAGCUUAUAUAUCUUGGUUAGCCAAUCAUUUUAAACUAGCAUCAGAUGGUCAAGUAUGGACCGUUGUACAACAAUGGAACCGUGAAGUUGGAUCUGGGUUCUUAUAUUGGUCAUGUG